CGUCACACUAUCAUUAACUGAAUCCAUAGGUUAAUGAGGCGAACCGGGGGAACUGAAACAUCUAAGUACCCCGAGGAAAAGAAAUCAACCGAGAUUCCCCCAGUAGCGGCGAGCGAACGGGGAGGAGCCCAGAGCCUGAAUCAGCAUGUGUGUUAGUGGAAGCGUCUGGAAAGGCGCGCGAUACAGGGUGACAGCCCCGUACACAAAAGCGCAUGUGCUGUGAGCUCGAUGAGUAGGGCGGGACACGUGGUAUCCUGUCUGAAUAUGGGGGGACCAUCCUCCAAGGCUAAAUACUCCUGACUGACCGAUAGUGAACCAGUACCGUGAGGGAAAGGCGAAAAGAACCCCGGCGAGGGGAGUGAAAAAGAACCUGAAACCGUGUACGUACAAGCAGUGGGAGCCCCAC
rnacentral:rRNA from 1 species